rnacentral:rRNA from 1 species
GACGAACGCUGGCGGCGUGCUUAACACAUGCAAGUCGAACGGAAAGGCUCCAGCUUGCUGGAGUACUCGAGUGGCGAACGGGUGAGUAACACGUGGGUAAUCUGCCCUGCACUCUGGGAUAAGCCUGGGAAACUGGGUCUAAUACUGGAUAUGACCUUUCUCCUUAUGGGGUUUGGUGGAAAGUUUUUCGGUGUAGGAUGAGCCCGCGGCCUAUCAGCUUGUUGGUGGGGUGAUGGCCUACCAAGGCGACGACGGGAAGCCGGCCUGAGAGGGUGAUCGGCCACAUUGGGACUGAGAUACGGCCCAGACUCCUACGGGAGGCAGCAGUGGGGAAUAUUGCACAAUGGGCGGAAGCCUGAUGCAGCGACGCCGCGUGAGGGAUGACGGCCUUCGGGUUGUAAACCUCUUUCAGCAGGGACGAAGCGUAAGUGACGGUACCUGCAGAAGAAGCACCGGCUAACUAUGUG